rnacentral:rRNA from 1 species
GCUUACGGCCACACCGCCUGGUAUACGCUUGAUCUCGGAAGAUAAGGUAGGUUGGGCCUGGUUAAGUACUUGGAUGGGAGACCGCCUGGGAAUACCAGGUGCUGUAAACU